CUGUAUAUAUUUUUUAAUUUUUAAUUUUAAUUUUUGUGGGUACAACAUUCGCUAUAUUGAGAUCAUGCAUGUGUCCUCAAACCUAGUUCUUUUCCUAAGUCUAGUUUUAUAAAUGCUAGUGAUGAAC
rnacentral:snoRNA from 1 species